rnacentral:rRNA from 1 species
GUGGGGAAUCUUGCGCAAUGGGCGAAAGCCUGACGCAGCCAUGCCGCGUGAAUGAUGAAGGUCUUAGGAUUGUAAAAUUCUUUCACCGGGGACGAUAAUGACGGUACCCGGAGAAGAAGCUCCGGCUAACUUCGUGCCAGCAGCCGCGGUAAUACGAAGGGGGCUAGCGUUGCUCGGAAUUACUGGGCGUAAAGGGCGCGUAGGCGGACAGCUUAGUCAGAGGCGAAAGCCCAGGGCUCAACCUUGGAAUUGCCUUUGAUACUGGCUGUCUUGAGUUUGGGAGAGGUGAGUGGAACUCCGAGUGUAGAGGUGAAAUUCGUAGAUAUUCGGAGGAACACCAGUGGCGAAGGCGGCUCACUGGCUCGAUACUGACGCUGAGGUGCGAAAGCGUGGGGAGCAAACAGGAUUAGAUACCCCGGUAGUCC